UACGUAGUUUUCCCUCGUUACUCGUCCUUCCUUUGCGUAAAGCGUGCGCAGGCGGUUAUGCAAGACAGAUGUGAAAUCCCCGGGCUCAACCUGGGAACUGCAUUUGUGACUGCAUAGCUAGAGUACGGUAGAGGGGGAUGGAAUUCCGCGUGUAGCAGUGAAAUGCGUAGAUAUGCGGAGGAACACCGAUGGCGAAGGCAAUCCCCUGGACCUGUACUGACGCUCAUGCACGAAAGCGUGGGGAGCAAACAGG
rnacentral:rRNA from 1 species